rnacentral:rRNA from 1 species
CCUACGGGUGGCUGCAGUGGGGAAUCUUCCGCAAUGGGCGCAAGCCUGACGGAGCAAUGCCGCGUGAGCGAAGAAGGUCUUCGGAUCGUAAAGCUCUGUUGUUAGGGAAGAACAAGUAUCGGAGGAAAUGCCGGUACCUUGACGGUACCUGACGAGAAAGCCACGGCUAACUACGUGCCAGCAGCCGCGGUAAUACGUAGGUGGCAAGCGUUGUCCGGAUUUAUUGGGCGUAAAGCGCGCGCAGGCGGUCCUUUAAGUCUGAUGUGAAAUCUUGCGGCUCAACCGCAAGCGGUCAUUGGAAACUGGGGGACUUGAGUGCAGAAGAGGAAAGCGGAAUUCCACGUGUAGCGGUGAAAUGCGUAGAGAUGUGGAGGAACACCAGUGGCGAAGGCGGCUUUCUGGUCUGUAACUGACGCUGAGGCGCGAAAGCGUGGGGAGCAAACCGGAUUAGAUACCCGAGUAGUC